GGAUGCUUACCCAAGUCCGGUUGAAGGGAUCGGUCUUGAAAACCGAAAGGGGAUGAAAGUCUCGCGGGGGUUCGAAUCCCUCAGCAUCCGCCA
rnacentral:tRNA from 1 species